AUUGAACGCUGGCGGCAGGCCUAACACAUGCAAGUCGAGCGGAUGAAGGGAGCUUGCUCCUGGAUUCAGCGGCGGACGGGUGAGUAAUGCCUAGGAAUCUGCCUGGUAGUGGGGGAUAACGUCCGGAAACGGGCGCUAAUACCGCAUACGUCCUGAGGGAGAAAGUGGGGGAUCUUCGGACCUCACGCUAUCAGAUGAGCCUAGGUCGGAUUAGCUAGUUGGUGGGGUAAAGGCCUACCAAGGCGACGAUCCGUAACUGGUCUGAGAGGAUGAUCAGUCACACUGGAACUGAGACACGGUCCAGACUCCUACGGGAGGGAGCAGUGGGGAAUAUUGGACAAUGGGCGAAAGCCUGAUCCAGCCAUGCCGCGGGUGUGAAGAAGGUCCUCGGAUUGUAAAGCACUUUAAGUUGGGAGGAAGGGCAGUAAGUUAAUACCUUGCUGUUUUGACGUUACCAACAGAAUAAGCACCGGCUAACUUCGUG
rnacentral:rRNA from 1 species